rnacentral:rRNA from 1 species
GACGAACGCUGGCGGCGUGCUUAACACAUGCAAGUCGAACGGGCGUAGCAAUACGUCAGUGGCAGACGGGUGAGUAACGCGUGGGAACGUACCUUUUGGUUCGGAACAACACAGGGAAACUUGUGCUAAUACCGGAUAAGCCCUUACGGGGAAAGAUUUAUCGCCGAAAGAUCGGCCCGCGUCUGAUUAGCUAGUUGGUGAGGUAAUGGCUCACCAAGGCGACGAUCAGUAGCUGGUCUGAGAGGAUGAUCAGCCACAUUGGGACUGAGACACGGCCCAAACUCCUACGAGAGGCAGCAGUGGGGAAUAUUGGACAAUGGGCGAAAGCCUGAUCCAGCCAUGCCGCGUGAGUGAUGAAGGCCCUAGGGUUGUAAAGCUCUUUUGUGCGGGAAGAUAAUGACGGUACCGCAAGAAUAAGCCCCGGCUAACUUCGUGCCAGCCGCCGCAGUAACAC